AGCUCAGUGGCGUCUCUUAUUUAGAGUACAUCCCCUUUCUCCUAACGCGCUAGAGGGACGGAGUCCUCGGAGCGACGCUCUAACUUGGCAAGGGAAGCCCCAAGGUGACUGAAAACCAAGGGCCCUCCUAUCUGUGGGCUGAGGACCUAACUGGGGCCCGCCGCCCUCCCCGACCAAGUCCAGCGGGCUCCGAGGGGCCGCCGGGCAGCAAGCGGGGCCUCGAGGCCGCUGUCGAGACCCCAACUCCGGAACGUGAAUAUCGUGGGGCCGAAGAGAUGGCUCAGCAGUUAAGAGCGCUGGCUGUUCUUCCAGAAGACCCAGGUUAAAUUCCCAGCACCCACAUGACAGCUCACAACUGUCUGCAACUCCAGUUCAGAGGAUCUGACACCCUAACACAGACAUAGGUGCAUAGAUAGAUAGAUAGAUAGAUAGAUAGAUAGAUAGAUAGAUAGAUAGACAGACAGAUGAGAUGGAUGUAAACACCAUGGUUCAAUCACAUCCACUCCUAAGUUCCUCUUCCCC